UUUUCUCGGGGUGGGAUAGAAUGCGAGUCGAGCGUUUCUAGCCAUGUUGAAACGCGGCAGACGGCUCAGUAACACGUGGCUAACCUACCCUCAGGAUGAGAACAACCCCGGGAAACUGGGGCUAAUACUCAAUAGGUGAGGAUGUCUGGAAUGAUUUCUCACUCAAAAGGCUUUGGAUACAUGCUUCCAUUGUCGCCUGGGGAUGGGGCCGCGUCCGAUCAGGUUGUUGGUGAGGUAACGGCUCACCAAGCCUAUAACCGGUACGGGCCGUGAGAGCGGUAGCCCGGAGAUGGGUACUGAGACAAGGACCCAGGCCCUACGGGGCGCAGCAGUCGCGAAAACUCCGCAAUGCACGAAAGUGUGACGGGGCUACCCCGAGUGCCAUCCGCUGAGGAUGGCUUUUCUUUGGUAUAACAAGCCAUUGGAAUAAGGAGAGGGCAAGACUGGUGUCAGCCGCCGCGGUAAUACCAGCUCUCCGAGUGGUAGGGAUGAUUAUUGGGCUUAAAGCGUCCGUAGCCGGCUUAGCAAGUCUCCUGUUAAACUCAGCGACCUAAUCGUUGAAUCGCGGGAGAUACUAUUAGGCUAGGAGGCGGGAGAGGUCGACGGUACUUCUGGGGUAGGGGUGAAAUCCUAUAAUCCCGGGAGGACCACCAGUGGCGAAGGCUGUCGACUAGAACGCGCUCGACGGUGAGGGACGAAAGCUGGGGUAGCGAACCGGAUUAGAUACCCGGGUAGUCCCAGCUGUAAACGAUGCGGGCUAGGUGUUGGGAUGGCUACGUGCCAUUUCAGUGCCGCAGGGAAGCCAUUAAGCCCGCCGCCUGGGGAGUACGGCCGCAAGGCUGAAACUUAAAGGAAUUGGCGGGGGAGCACCACAAGGCGUGAAGCUCGCGGUUCAAUUGGAGUCAACGCCGGG
rnacentral:rRNA from 1 species